rnacentral:rRNA from 1 species
UACGUAGGGUGCAAGCGUUGUCCGGAAUUAUUGGGCGUAAAGAGCGUGUAGGCGGUCAGGUAGGUCCGUUGUGAAAACUCGAGGCUCAACCUCGAGACGCCGAUGGAAACCAUCAGACUAGAGUCCGGAAGAGGAGAGUGGAAUUCCUGGUGUAGCGGUGAAAUGCGCAGAUAUCAGGAAGAACACCCGUGGCUAAGGCGGCUCUCUAGUACGGUACUGACGCUGAGACGCGAAAGCGUGGGGAGCGAACAGG